UAUGGCUCCUGUGUCCCGUUUCCAGGCCAGCAGUUUCGCUGGUUACUGGUCCCAGCCACACUUCAGCCAGCUGGGUGGACGUGAGAGCUCACCCUUGGACUCACGGCGAUGCCUGCGAAUUGGGGUCUUCAAUCUGGAUGAAGUGCAGAGGGCCAGCUGCUCUGGGAGCUGGUCGUGUGCGGACUGCUGACCGUGCUACUGGUUAGAAUACCACUAACCAGCUGUAACUAGCUGCUGUAAAGAACGUGGCCCUCGAAAUCCCAGUGGCUGGACAUAGCGGGAAGUUGUUAUUUUUCCAGCUUUAUUGAGGUAUAAUUGACAGUUAAAAUUGUAUAUCUUUAAGGUGCCUAAGUUGAUGACUUGAUAUAUGGAGACACUGUGGAAUAUUCACCACAAUCAGGCUAAUUAACACAUCCCUCACCUCGGUUAGUUACCACUUUCUUCUUUUUCUUUUCUGUGGUAGCAACAAUUAAGCUUGACCCUCUUAGCAGAUUUCAGGUGCACAGCACAGUAUUUUCACUCUAGCCACACCAAUGUACAUUAGAUCCCAGAACUUACCCGUCUUCAUAACUAAAGCUUUGUACCCCUGACCAACAUCCCCCCACAUUGCAGAUUUAUGGUAUGGAUGGAUGGAUGGGUGGAUGGAUAGAUGAAGGAUGGAUAAAAGUCAAACAGUUUCACUAUAGAAAAGUUAGAAAAUUAAAUUCAAAUUACAGCAAUCAAACAAGAAUCAAAUCAACCCACAACCCAUGACUAAAGAACAUGCUUUUAACAGUUUUCAUCUUUAUUUUGGCUUAUACACAUGAUAGGAAUUUUAUUUGUAACGAGAUCAUCUUUUAACUUUGUUUUAUGACUUACAUUUUUCAUAUUAUCAAGUGCUCUCGGUCAUCUUAAGUCCUCAGUGUCCCCUCGCCGCCUGUGUGGUAAGUCACCCACCAGUUUCCCGCCGGGGCUUAUUAGAAGGUGUCUCCGUGACUGUUGUGGACGGUGCUGCCGUGACCAGCUUUGUCAUCGUAACCGUGACUGUUCUCUAGGCUCCCUGGACAAGUUCCUCCAGGUGGGAUUGUCGAGCUGCUGCAAGCGGACAUUUUAAGUAUUUGUGUUGUCAGCUGGCGUCCAGGGUGUGGAUGAUGGUUUUCACUUCUGUCGGCAGCGUGUGAUGGCACCUACUUCUCCCAUCCUUCCCAACACUGGGGUUUUAAUUUUUUAAAUGUUAAAUGAACACUGCUCCCUGUGGCCACAUAAUAUGUCAUUCAUUGCCACUGGACACCCCUGUCUCAGCACUGCCCUUCCAGGGUUGUUUUUAUUUAUUUUUUGUUACCCUUCCAGUUUUUCAAAACCAUUUUCUUCCAGGGCUCCUGCUGACAGCCCGGUGGACACAAGGCCCUGUGCAGACACCCCUUCCCGCAGACGUGUGCGCGGCGGUGAGAGCAGCGCAGGCUAGAAGCCAGGCCUUCCGUUUCCAGGUGCUGUGUACCAUCCACCGGCUGUGAGCAGAAGGUUCCAGUUACUAUCUGACGGCCGAGUUCCUGGGAAUUUCAGAGGAGAGAGGACACUGCUCAUUAAAGACGCCGUGCUCUGCUCCGGCUGUGCCCCGGCCGGCCAGCCCUUCUCCCCUGGGCCGCGGCGGUGGCCGCACAGGGUGGUGCCCUUGAGGGCGUUACCUGGCUCAUCGCCGCUUCAGUGCUUGCCUCUGUCGCGUGUGCACAGCUCCUGCCCUCCGGGCCGACCGGGAGCCCCAGGGGGCCAAGCUUUAGAGACGGCUGCUCACAUCAGAGACGAGACAGGAGCUGAGAAGAGGACACAGCACAGACCGUCACAUUGAUGGGUCUCACCAGCCUGGAUGCUCUGAUUCCAGAUGCAAUGGCAGUUUCGUAUAUAAAAACACCAGGCUUUCUGGCUGGAGUAUUUUGGUCUCUGUACCUGCGCCUUGAUGACAUUUGAGGCUCCUUGGGUCCCUGGGAUGCCAGCUGUGUAUUUGCUGGGCCCAUGGGCACCCUCACACGAGACAGGGUGCUUUACUACCUCACUUUGCAGAGUGUCAGAGCUGGCACAAAGUUCAGCUUA